rnacentral:rRNA from 1 species
UACGUAGGGAGCAAGCGUUGUCCGGAAUCAUUGGGCGUAAAGAGCGCGUAGGCGGCCGUGUAAGUCCGCUCUGAAAGUCGGAGGCUCAACCUCCGAAAGCGGGUGGAUACUGCACGGCUAGAGUCCGGAAGAGGCGAGUGGAAUUCCUGGUGUAGCGGUGGAAUGCGCAGAUAUCAGGAGGAACACCAACGGCGAAGGCAGCUCGCUGGGACGGUACUGACGCUGAGGCGCGAAAGCGUGGGGAGCAAACAGGAUUAGAUACCCUGGUAGUCCACGCCGUAAACGAUGGGCAUUAGGUGUGGGAGGUGUCGACUCCUCCCGUGCCGGCGCUAACGCAUUAAAUGCCCCGCCUGGGGAGUACGGCCGCAAGGCUAAA